rnacentral:tRNA from 1 species
AAGCAGGUGUCGUUGGUAAGCAUUACUUCGUAAGGGUUCCGGGGGGUCGGGGGUUCAAGUCCCUCCCUGU